GAGGGAGGGAUGACGCAGGGUCAGGGCGCUGCUACUGAGGAGGGAUGACGCAGGGUCAGGGCGCUGCUACUGAGGAGGGAUGACGCAGGGUCAGGGCGCUGCUACUGAGGAGGGAUGACGCAGGGUCAGGGCGCUGCUACUGAGGAGGGAUGACGCAGGGUCAGGACGCUGCUGAUCCUCAGGUCCAGUGUGCACUUGUGGGUAGGAUACAAGUGCGACACUUUUUACAACAUUUGGGUAUCUAUUUUGGAAACGUUUCGCCACACAGUGGCUUCGUCAGUCUAUUGAAGAAAAAUGUGGAAUAAAGGGAGGAGUUUGAGGUAAUCUAGACAAAAGUCAAGAUUGAUAAACCAUACCACGGGCGGGGAUACAACCCGCGAUUUUAUCCCCGCCCGUGGUAUGGUUUGUUUGCAAUCGUGUCAUUACGAUUUCGUGAGUCAAGAUUGAUAUACUGAACACCUCGACUCAAGACUAAGGGACUGAUUAUGAAAAACCGACAAGUUGAAAUUGAGACACUUAUGCAACAUAUGGGAAUCUUCAUUGAGGAAACGUUUCGCCACACAGUGGCUUCAUCAGUCCAAUGCAAAGUAGAAAGGCGUAAGGAAAGGAGGAGUUUGAGGUAAUCAGUCCCUCAGCCUGGAGUCGAUGUGUUCAGUCCAUCAAUCUUGUAGAAUGUACAGCAUAGGGCCGUAGACGUGGCUUAUAUACUGUAGUGAGGUGAGGUGAAGCAGGCGGAGGCGGGGUCAUAGUGGUAUCAUCCACUAGUCGAAGUAGGUCUUCGUCCAAAGGUUGAACAAGUGUUGAAGAAUUCUUUGUAAGAAGAUCCCAUGAUGCUGCCGUGUCUGACAGUUGUGAUGAAUGGUUUGAAAAACCGACAAGUUGAAGAUUGAGACACUUAUGCAACAUAUGCUGUACAUCUUACAAGAACACAUCGACUCCAGGCUGAGGACUGAUUUCCUCAAACUCCUCUUCUCCUUACGCCUUUCUACUUUGUAUUGGACUGAUGAAGUCCCUGUGUGGCGAAACGCUUCCUGAAUAAAGAUUCCCAUAUGUUGCAUAAGUGUCUCAAUCUUCAAGGGACUGAUUACUUCAAACUUCUCUCCUUAUAUCAAAAGUGUCAUUUAUCAACGUCUCUCUUUCGUAAACCAUUUAUUAUAAUUAUGAUUAUUGCAUAUUUAUAUAAAGUAAUAGUCACAAUAUUAAAAUAUAUAUGCUAUUA